rnacentral:rRNA from 1 species
CGGACGGGUGAGUAAUGCCUAGGAAUCUGCCUGGUAGUGGGGGAUAACGUCCGGAAACGGGCGCUAAUACCGCAUACGUCCUGAGGGAGAAAGUGGGGGAUCUUCGGACCUCACGCUAUCAGAUGAGCCUAGGUCGGAUUAGCUAGUUGGUGGGGUAAAGGCCUACCAAGGCGACGAUCCGUAACUGGUCUGAGAGGAUGAUCAGUCACACUGGAACUGAGACACGGUCCAGACUCCUACGGGAGGCAGCAGUGGGGAAUAUUGGACAAUGGGCGA